rnacentral:rRNA from 1 species
CCUACGGGAGGCGGCAGUGGGGAAUAUUGGACAAUGGGCGAAAGCCUGAUCCAGCCAUGCCGCGUGUGUGAAGAAGGUCUUCGGAUUGUAAAGCACUUUAAGUUGGGAGGAAGGGCAUUAACCUAAUACGUUAGUGUUUUGACGUUACCGACAGAAUAAGCACCGGCUAACUCUGUGCCAGCAGCCGCGGUAAUACAGAGGGUGCAAGCGUUAAUCGGAAUUACUGGGCGUAAAGCGCGCGUAGGUGGUUUGUUAAGUUGGAUGUGAAAUCCCCGGGCUCAACCUGGGAACUGCAUUCAAAACUGACAAGCUAGAGUAUGGUAGAGGGUGGUGGAAUUUCCUGUGUAGCGGUGAAAUGCGUAGAUAUAGGAAGGAACACCAGUGGCGAAGGCGACCACCUGGACUGAUACUGACACUGAGGUGCGAAAGCGUGGGGAGCAAACAGGAUUUAGGAUACCCGUGGUAGUCCACGACCGUAAACGAUGUACAACUACGUCGGUUAGGGACGUCCUAGAGCUCGUUAGUGGCGCGAGACGUACGACGAGUUAGUUACGUACCGUACCGUGGGAGGUACGGCCGGAACCGUAAACGGUUAAACGUUAACGAAAGUAAGUUAGUUACGGCGNGAGAGNGACGACGGACGACGACGAGGGAGGAGG